CCAUAAAGAGGGAGCGAGGAGGCAGAGGCCCCUCUCUAGGAGGGUUUCCUGAGUUUGCUAGAUAGGAGACCACACCCAGGCAGAGAGGAGACACCAGAGUGUAAUUCAUACCACAGCUGCUGUUUACAGUGCUUAUGAAAAAUGAUGAAUCGGCAACCUUGCAGAAUCAAGCACCCAAAGGAUAUGCUGCCUUGACACCUGUGAUGUCUGGUUUUGAGUGGUAUGCUGGACUAUCGAGGUGGAAAGGCCUUUAUACACAAAAAAGCUCCAUCUCUAGUUUUUACCUGGCUGCUGAAAUUGGUUUCCCCAGAACGUUCAGUGAGGAAGAAUUGAGAAAAGAGGCUGAACAUAAAGUAUCAUCUUUUGGGGCUCUACAUCUCCUAACAUUUGAAAGUCUUGGUGAAGAGAAAGGUGAGUGAAAGUACAGUUGACAGCUCUGCUAUUUUCUCACCAUAUGAGCCCAGAUUAGGGGACACCCUCUCUUUGCAUCACAGAGAUAAUGUCUUAGUGUGUAUCACAAAUUGUAGCUUUAUGGUAGUGCCUAUAGACAAGGGUCCCCUUGUGUGACACACUACAAACAUAAGUAAGGCUAUUUUGCAGCUACCCAAAUUAAAAAAAAAACACAUUAGAGAAAUCUGAGCAAAAAAAAUAGAAGAUGCCUCAGCUGCAGAACAGUUUCAGUGCAUUGACUGCCUAAUAGUGGAAAAGAUUUUGGAAAGCAAUUGAGACGUUUUAAGGAGAGUAGUGAUGAGGGCCUUGCAUGUGUGAAGCCUAAGCCUCUCCAGGACUUAAGGAGAGCUAGAUAAGAUGCUUAUUAGACUGUUUUAGAAGCUGAUGGAUAGCUGUUAAUCUUUCUGCUAGUAUUUCCCAGCAGUGUUUUGAGUUCAAAGCAGUUAGAAAUUAUUAUCACAUUAUACAAAAGGGGGCCUAAACUUAGUCAAUAAUCACGUAAUACAGAUCACUAAGGAAGGGGUGACUUCUAUAUGCUGCCAGCAAAAUGGAAAUUCAGAUCAGUAACUCAGGAGUAAAUUUCCAAAUAUGGGAAAUUAGGCUCUAAUACAGGAAAGAAAA